UAGGGAAUUUUGGACAAUGGGCGAAAGCCUGAUCCAGCGACGCCGCGUGGGGGAUGAAGGCCUCCGGGUUGUAAACCCCUGUUGCGAGGGAAGAAGCCACCGCAAGGAUGGUGACGGUACCUCGCGAGGAAGCCCCGGCUAACUACGUGCCAGCAGCCGCGGUAAGACGUAGGGGGCAAGCGUUAUCCGGAUUCACUGGGCGUAAAGGGCGCGUAGGCGGCUACGUAAGUCGGUUGUGAAAUCCCCGGGCUCAACUCGGGAACUGCGACCGAUACUGCGUUGGCUUGAGGACGGUAGAGGCUAGUGGAACUAGCGGUGUAGCGGUGAAAUGCGCAGAUAUCGCUAGGAACGCCGGUGGCGAAGGCGACUGGCUGGGCCGAUCCUGACGCUGAGGCGCGAAAGCCAGGGGAGCGAACCGG
rnacentral:rRNA from 1 species